CGGGGUAUCGUACAUCGGUAGUAUGCGUGCUUUGGGAGCACGAGAGCCCAGUUCGAUUCUGGGUACCCCGA
rnacentral:tRNA from 1 species